rnacentral:rRNA from 1 species
UACAGGGGGGGCAAGCGUUGUUCGGAAUUACUGGGCGUAAAAGGCUCGUAGGCGGCCAACUAAGUCACACGUGAAAUCCCCAGGCUUAACCUGGGAACUGCGUGUGAUACUGGAUGGCUUGAAUUCGGGAGAGGGAUGCAGAAUUCCAGGUGUAGCGGUGAAAUGCGUAGAUAUCUGGAGGAACACCGGUGGCGAAGGCGGCAUCCUGGACCGAUACUGACGCUGAGGAGCGAAAGCCAGGGGAGCAAACGGG